rnacentral:ncRNA from 1 species
CGGCGGACAAGUCGCGGGCGCCUCCUUGGAGCGUAAUUCCCACCGAGCGGCGGGUAAAAUCCUUUGCAGACGACUUAAAUACGCGACAGGGUAUUGUAAGUGGCAGAGUGGCCUUGCUGCCAUGAUUCACUGAGAUUCAGCCCUUUGUCGCUUCGAUUCGU